CGUGCAACCUGCUGCCAACGAGCUUGACCAGUUAGAGUUUCUAGAGGAGCUAACUUUGUCGUCAACAAAGAUCAAACAUCUUCCUGAUAGAAUUUGUAUGUUGAAACGUCUUAAACUUCUCCGGUUUAAAUCUUGUUGGCUUCUUGAGCAGUUACCUGAGGAUCUUGGCAGAUUAGAGUGUUUAGAGGAGCUGUACUUGACGGAGUGUCUAUUCUUACGUGAUAUUCCAAACAGCAUAUGUGAGAUGAAACGUCUAAAAUGUUUCCAUCUCCCAUAUUGUGUUCUGGUUGAAAAAUUGCCUGAGGAAAUUGGUCGUAUAAAUUGUUUAAAAGAGUUGAAUAUAGAAGGCACAGGCAUAAAGCAUCUUCCUCAGAGUACUUUUCAAUUGAAAGGUCUGCGUAUUCUUGGGUCUAGGUGGCAGCUUGAGUCAUAUGAUUUUACAUCGGUAACGCAAAUUUCAGAAUACAUGGCCUUCUGGUACAUAUAGCUGUGGAUAACAUGCACUCCGGCCCACAACACACUGAAUUCUUAACCGGUCUAAAUAAUGAGAAAGAUAAGUUGGAGGGCUGUUUGGGUAAAGGAAGCAAGAUAGGAGGGUUAGCAGUGACAAAGAGUGAAAGCUGGAGGGUUCUUAUUCAUAAUUUGCUCAUGUAUUCAAGAGUGAAAGAUGCAGAAUUUGGAAAAGAAUGGCUCAAUGUGACAAGAUUCAGUGACUAGGAAGAUCAGAGUGAAGACAAACAAGAAGAGGACAUCAUAUCGAACAUUGCACCAAUCCUUCUUGCUGUAAGCAGGUUCUUUGAGGCAAAUCAAACAGUUGAUAAUAUAAACUCAUUUUGUCAUUUUGGAGCUAAAGCUCAUAAGUAUCAUGUUCCAGAGCGCACCAACAACCACUAGUCUCCAAUCCGCAGUUGACUUGAGAAAAGGCUUGUGUAGGCAAAUGAAAAAGGUCAAGUCUAUUUGGCAAUUGGCAUUUCGUCGAAAAUAUGGAGUAACAGACCAUGUGAAAGUUGAUUUUGAAGGGCGUUUAUUUCUCUAAACCUUUCUAGUUUGAAGAUUAAUAUUUUGAGUCUUGUUCACCCACAUCAGGUUAUUUAGGUUCUUAUUAAUAAUUUGCUUCUUAGUAAUCUGCUUAUAAUUUAGGUAUAUGGUUAUUGAGAGUAUGAUUGUGCAAUGAAAGUAUGAUCCCCCAACUACCUACAAAAAUUUUAGAAUGUGAAGUUUGAUAAGUUAACAUAGUUGACUUAUUUAGUAA